UACGUAGGGUCCGAGCGUUGUCCGGAAUUACUGGGCGUAAAGAGCUCGUAGGUGGUUUGUCGCGUUGUCCGUGAAAACUCACAGCUCAACUGUGGGCGUGCGGGCGAUACGGGCAGACUGGAGUACUGCAGGGGAGACUGGAAUUCCUGGUGUAGCGGUGGAAUGCGCAGAUAUCAGGAAGAACACCCGUGGCGAAGGCGGCUCUCUGGAACGCAACUGACGCUGAGACGCGAAAGCGUGGGGAGCAAACAGG
rnacentral:rRNA from 1 species